rnacentral:rRNA from 1 species
UACGGAGGAUGCGAGCGUUAUCCGGAUUUAUUGGGUUUAAAGGGUGCGUAGGCGGGCUGUUAAGUCAGCGGUCAAAUGUCGGGGCUCAACCCCGGCCCGCCGUUGAAACUGGCUGGCUUGAGUUGGGGAAAGGCAGGCGGAAUGCGCGGUGUAGCGGUGAAAUGCAUAGAUAUCGCGCAGAACCCCGAUUGCGAAGGCAGCCUGCCGGCCCCACACUGACGCUGAGGCACGAAAGCGUGGGUAUCGAACAGG